rnacentral:rRNA from 1 species
CUAUAAUGCAGUCGAGCGAGCCGAACUAAUUGAUUACCUUCGGGUAUGAAGUUAGGGAAGCGAGCGGCGGAUGGGUGAGUAACACGUGGGUAACCUACCCUAUAGUCUGGGAUACCACUUGGAAACAGGUGCUAAUACCGGAUGAAAGGAGAGAUCACAUGAUUUCUUUUUGAAAGGCGGCGUAAGCUGUCGCUAAAGGAUGGACCCGCGGUGCAUUAGCUAGUUGGUAAGGUAACGGCUUACCAAGGCAACGAUGCAUAGCCGAGUUGAGAGACUGAUCGGCCACAUUGGGACUGAGACACGGCCCAAACUCCUACGGGAGGCAGCAGUAGGGAAUCUUCCACAAUGGACGCAAGUCUGAUGGAGCAACGCCGCGUGAGUGAAGAAGGUUUUCGGAUCGUAAAGCUCUGUUGUUGGUGAAGAAAGAUAGUGAGAGUAACUGCUCAUUAUUUGCCGGUAAUCAACCAGAAAGUCGCGGCUAACUACGUGCCAGCAGCCGCGGUAAUACGUAGGUGGCAAGCGUUGUCCGGAUUUAUUGGGCGUAAAGCGAGCGCAGGCGGAAAGAUAAGUCAGAUGUGAAAGCCCUCGGCUUAACCGAGGAAUAGCAUCGGAAACUGUCUUUCUUGAGUGCAGAAGAGGAGAGUGGAACUCCAUGUGUAGCGGUGGAAUGCGUAGAUAUAUGGAAGAACACCAGUGGCGAAGGCGGCUCUCUGGUCUGUAACUGACGCUGAGGCUCGAAAG